AUGUUACAGUGGCAACACAUAUACUAAAAUUGGAACGAUACAGAGAAGAUUAGCAUGGCCUCUGCGCAAGGAUGACACACAAAUUCGUGAAGCCUUCCAUAUUUUG
rnacentral:snRNA from 1 species